AAUAUUGGACUAAGGGGGCAACCCUGAUCCAGCUUUGCUGCGGGAGUUAAGAAGUUCUUCGGAUUGUAAAGCACUUUAAGUUGGGAGGAAGGGCUUUAGGUUAAUACCCUGAAGUUUUGACGUUACCAACAGAAUAAGCAUCGGCUAACGAUGUGCCAGCAGCCGCGGUAAUACAGAGGGUGCAAGCGUUAAUCGGAAUUACUGGGCGUAAAGCGCGCGUAGGUGGUUCAGUAAAAUGGGUGGGAAAUCCACGGGCUUAACCUGGGAACUGCUUUCAUAACUGCUGAGCUAGAGUACGGUAGAGGGUAGUGGAAUUUCCUGUGUAGCGGUGAAAUGCGUAGAUAUAGGAAGGAACACCAGUGGCGAAGGCGAAUACCUGGACUGAUACUGACACUGAGGUGCGAAAGCGUGAGGAGCAAACA
rnacentral:rRNA from 1 species